AUCUACGGCCAUGCUACCCUGAAUGCACCGAUCUUGUGUGGUCUCGGAAGCUGAGCAGGGUUGGGCCUGGUUAGUACUUGGAUGGGAGAAUGAACCUUGUUUUGGACAUGACUGAAGCUUCGGAUGGCAGAGCUG
rnacentral:rRNA from 1 species